GGAGUUUGGGCCGUGUCUCAGUCCCAAUGUGGCCGAUCACCCUCUCAGGUCGGCUACCGAUCGUUGACUUGGUGGGCCGUUACCUCACCAACUAUCUAAUCGGACGCGAGCCCACCCUUCACCGGAUUGCUCCUUUGACCCCUGCGGGAUGUCCCGCUGUGGUCUUAUGCGGUAUUAGUACAACUUUCGCUGUGUUAUCCCCCUGUGAAGGACAGGUUGCUCACGCGUUACUCACCCGUCCGCCGCUAAAACAUACAUCUUCAAUUCCAUCCGAAAACUUCCUAUCCGUCGUAUGUCUCCGCUCGACUUGCAUGUGUUAGGCACGCCGCCAGCGUUCGUU
rnacentral:rRNA from 1 species